rnacentral:lncRNA from 1 species
AAGGCAUGAGUCUGUGCAAACACAAAGCACCAAAGCCCUAAAAAAAGGAAGGAAAACGCAAGCGGCUAUGGUAUUAACAAGGGAUGCAAAAGAAAGGACAGAAGGGCUCAGUUUGAGGUAACGUUGAAACUGCUAUUACAAUCGAGCAGGCUGUCAAUCGUAGGCCACAAGAGAGAGAGCACACCAGAGGUGUUAAUGCCUAAAUUGCCUAUGACUAUUUUUGGGCGCAAUGCUUAAUGCCUAAAUAUGGAAGCCCAUCAACAGCGCAACCGGAGAGCAUUUGAGUCUUUAGCAAAUCGGGACACGAUGCAGAAAAUUGCGAAAUUCAUCAAGCGAGAUUGGCCUUGCCGCCAGUGUCGGCGCUUUUGACACCUAUCCAGUAAGCUCGUUGUCCUCUAACGCUUGCAUUCAUGUGAUCAAAGCCUCGAGGGCCUUCGUCCAAUUUCCUCCAAAAUUUUAUCGCGAGUUUAGUCUUGGCAUUACAAGUGUCCCCCCUUCAACAAAGGCUUUAGAGCGACAGGAGAAAGGAUUCAUUACCACAAAUGGUUUUAUUUUGGGAGUCAUUUGAAUCUAAGAAGUUGGUGGCCCAUGACCAUGAGUAAAAAUGCCCCAUUUGGCAACCAAGCAUGGAAACUUCUCUAUUGAAUGUAGGACAAGGGCAGUGUUUGAAAAACCGGCCGGUCCGAACCGAAACCGGCUGGUUAGAUCGGUACCGACAAGGUACCGACUCCGAUUAAGGCCAGUUUUGUGGUAGUAAUGAAUAUUCCGGUCUCUCUAAAACAUUUGAGUACAAAAACCAGCUGGUUUAUGGUCAAACCGGUGGUUUUCAUUCAAAACCGACCGUUAUUUGACACAGCGGUAUGUAACACCUGAAAUAACGUAAAAACGGUAUAAUCUGAAAUAACGGCCGUUAUUUGACACAGCGGCGUUAUUUGUAACAAAAACCAUCAAUUGAAUUUUGCAGCCUUUUUUUAUUCUAAUUUUUGACUUUUUUUUGUCUUUUCGAUCAAUUAUUGCACUUAUACACCUGAAAUUUUCUAUAAAUAACUGUCUAUGGAAUCAAAAUCAAAGAAAAACGAUUUUUUGGUGGAUUGAAAAUGGCGGAUUUCUGAAACUAUGAAAUUUCCACCAAUUUAUCAAUCUGAGCUUCAAUACCCCAUGAUUAUGAAUGAAAUUGAGGGCUUUGAUGAAUUGUUGAAGGCUUAAACUUUUCCCUAUUUCGAUUUGUCGAAAAAGAUGAAUAUUUGAGGUUGAUUUCAGCUGAAAGUGAGCAGCAUCAAAGAACUGUAUUCGAUGAAAAAAAGUUGAUUUUUGAUCCAUGCAUCGAUUGUUUGUUUUCGAAUUGAUUAGUGAAGUUUGAUCAUCAAGGCUUCAUCAAUCGAAUACAUUAAGUAUUUUGAUUUCUCAUUGAGUAAACUUAUUUAUAUGAUUUUUUUUUUUACUGCAUUUUUGUUUUGAAAAUUUUGUGAAGUGAAAUAUCCUCCAUUUUUUGAAGAACAAUCUCAAUAGUGAAUGGAUCUUCAUGAAAUUUGGGGCAUUUGAAUCUUAAUUGAAGUAUCUAUCAUAUCCCCAUGUCAAUUUGUUCACAAAAUGAAAGAUUUGGGGUUGAUUUUGAAUCUAAAGUUUUUUUGUUCUUUGGCUCGAUUUUAGGGUUCUAAGAAAAAAUUGCUUUCUAAUAAAAUUAUGUUUUGGUUUUAUAAAAAUAUGUUAUUUGUGAUGAAUAUGGUAAAAAAUAUACAUAUUCUUUCUUUUUAAUUUUAUAUAUUUUGGCGAGCUUUUUUAGUGUUUUUAAUGUUAUAUAUUUUUUUACAAAAAUAUGUGUUUUUAUGAUAAAUGUGAGAAAAAAAUAUAUGUUAUAUAUUUUUUUUAGAAAAAUAUGUGUUUUUAUGAUAAAUGUGAGAAAAAAAUAUAAUGUUAUAUAUUUUUUAUGAGCUUGUUGGAUUGUUUUUAAUGUUAUAAAUUUUUUCAUAAAAAAUAUGUUUGUUUGUGAUGAAUAUGAGAAAAAAAUACAUAUUCUGUCUUUAUAAUUUUAUAUAUUUUUAGUGAGCUUGUUGGAUUGUUUUCAAUGUUUUAUUUUUUUUUACUAAAAUAUUUUUUUUUGUGAUGAAUAUGAAAAAAAUAUAUUUAUUUCUUUUUAAAGUUAUAUAUGUUUUAUGAGCUUGUUGAAUUGUUUUUAAUGUCAUAUAUUUUUUUAUAAAAAUAUGGUUUUUUGUGAUGAAUAUGAGAAAAAAAAAUUUCUUUCUCUUUAAUGUUAUAUAUUUUAUGUGAGCUUGUUGGAUUGUUUUUAAUGUUCUAUUUUUUUUACAUAAAAAUAUGUUUUUCAUGUUAAAAUUGCAAUCUUAUAUAAUUUAUUUCAUCUUAAUUCUACAUUUUAAGUUGCAUGUCUACGAAAGGCACAAAUUCUGUGCCAAAACAGGUUAAUAUCUUGAAUAUCUUUGUUGCCGAGGUGAUUAUUUUCUAGUUAUGAAGGCUAUUUAUUGAUUCAUGGUCAUGAUAAUUUAUGAGAAUAAUCUAUCAAUGGCCAACUUUGCUUUUCCUUUACAUGGAUGAUCAGUAGUGCUUCAUUAUUUUUCUCUAACUAGUUAUUUAUUAAUUUUUUUGUUUGUAUAAUGAUUUUAUUUUGCUCCUCAAUUCCCAUCGAUUCAAGGUCUCAUUACUCCUCAUUCCUAUAACUGUGCAUCAUUUUUUUGGCUCCUCAAUCCUGUUUUUUUUGUUCAUGUAGUGCUGGUUUAUGGGAUUAUUGUGGGUUUUAUUGUUUUGAUGAAAAAUUUGAUAACUGACUGUUGGUGUAUUUGUUGUCUGUGUUCUCAACUUCUUGUUUGGUUGUGACAUUUUAUUCUAAUUUAUUUUUUUAUUUGUUAUAAGUUAUCCAUCAUUUGUUGCAACUUCAUACUCCUGAAAUCUGUUUAUUAGCUCUACGAAGAAAAGAGGUAGAAACUAAAAAGUAUUUUACUCAUCUCUCAUGUUUCCACCUGCUGAAAUGGAUAAAAAAUUAACNNNNNNNNNNNNNNNNNNNNUUUGGCCAUUUGAAUAUCGAUUUGGCCAUAUUUUUUUAAAAUAUGUGAUUUAGCCCUUUGAAGCAGCACUUAACACCUUGACCCACACCUUGCAUUUGAUAACCAAGUUACUUAGUAAAUGAGGUGCUCUCUCUUACUACCUUGACUCACAACCCUUUUGAGUAAAUGAGGUGCUCUCUCUUACUACCUUGACUCAUAACCCAUCGGAAAAUUGGGAACAUCAUGCUAUAAGAAAAUAUGCUUUCAAACCCAAUUCUAACCCGUAUUAAAGGUUUUUUGGACAUUAAAACAACUGUUUUCAACACCAACAUUAAAACACUAUAGACAUAUUGUUGCAUCAUAUAUAAUUUAAUUUUUAUUUUAUUAUUGUCUUUUAUGGCCCAUCAAGAAGUAGAUAUAAAUCUUUAUUGCAAAUAAUUUUUAAAAAUGAAAUUUUGUUUGCACUUUAUUUAUUUGUUUAUUUCUUGUGUGUUUACUUGCAUGCUUAAUUACCUUUAGUUGCAUGAUGCAAAGAGGGAUGGAUCAAUUUGUAACGCUUUAUUUUNUUUUGGGGUCAUCGAAAAUGCAAAGAGCGCCUUGCUUGGGUAAAAUAUUGAGACAAAAAUGUAUCAAAUAAAUAUUUGCUUUAAUGAACUUUUAUGUUCAGGAAAAUUUACAAGAAAAUAAUAAGAUGAGGAGGGGAGAUGCGACGUGGCAAUAUGGUACAAAAGUGAACGAUAAAGGAAGAGUUCGAUGGAAUUUUUGUAACAAGGAAAUGGG